rnacentral:rRNA from 1 species
CGGGGGUAAACGGACAGAGCCCGUGAAUCCGGGCGACGGAAUUCAGAAUCGACGACGGCGGCGAACUCCGCCGUCGUCGUCGAUUCGAUAUUUCCGUCGCCGAGCGACAAUAAUUUUAUUUAUUGUACACGGACGUCGCGACCCGUUCGGCGUCGGUCCGCAGGAGACGUGCGAAAGUUCGCGGAACGUUGGUCGGGGUUUCGCGGCCUCGGCGGGCGUUUCGCGAGUGCGCGUUUUAGUUUUCUCAUCUGGCCGACUUGCCGGACGGUAUGCGAAGCGGUGAUCGCGGCGGCCUACCGCGCCGUCGCGUUACCGGUCCGCGACGAAUCUUC